rnacentral:lncRNA from 1 species
CAUGCUUGGGUCCCUGCCAGCCAGGAGGUGGGUUGGGGGUGCUCAGUGCCUGUGCUGGGCUUCUAGCAUGGGGGCUGCAGGGUGGGCAGCCCCAAGUUUGCCCCCGCCACCUCCCCACAUGUUUCCUGAAGGAGACUCAGAGAUCCCCAGCCGUUAGCCCCCUUCUCCCCAGCUUCCUGUUUGGGCUCCAGAGAGACGUUGGGCCGUUUCUGCAGCUGAACUGGGAGCCAGUUGGGCUGGUGAGAGGGAGGCCUUGCUUCGUGGGCCAGCAGGUCAGGGGGCUUUGAAUCGGUUGCAGCCUCAGCUUGGGUACUCAAAUCCUGGCCUGGAAGCCCUUGAGAGGUCAGCAAGUUCAGCCCCCUGCCUCAGAGCAGGACAUAUUUGGGUCCUGCAGCUGAGGUCCCAAACACCACUUGGCCCCUAACAGCCCAUGCAGGCGGACCUUCUUCCCGGCCAGUGUGCCUUGAGGAGUCACUUUACCUGGAUUUGCCCCAACCUCAUCACCUGUGACCACCUACUCUGUAGGAACACGGUAUGACACACAGCAGCUCUUACCCCUGUGGCAGGUGGGACCAACACUUCACACGUGUCUGAAGGGAAGAAACCCUGACUUGUCCCCCCUCCCACUUGCCCCAACCUCACUGCCCUGGCACACCUGAGAGUGUCGUCCCAGCUGCACCUGCCGGGGUCAUGGAGAACACACGGUACAGACUGGCCCUCAGGAGGCCCCGGGCUGAUCAGGCUAGAGCCACACACAGUCACACAAAGCUGGCUUUGGGCCGAAGGACCUGCAGUGCCGGCCUUAUGAAAAGGCUCCUAGAAGAAACAACAGGUAAGGCUGGUACUCCUGGUUCCUAGAAUUGUCCCCACCCUCUGGGAGACAGUGAAGCCCCCGAAUUUCUCCUAGCCCCUUUGUCCCUCAAGCUCCAAGCCCCACUGGGUUGUAUUCCCCGGAGUCUACCCCUGCAGCCCUGGGCAGGCUCCCUUCUGUGAUGAGUUCUUGGGGGCUGCCCUGACCAGACAGAAAGGGAGCCCCACCCCACUUCUAGUACCCUCUCUGGGUCCCCUGUUUGGUCUGAAACUUGGCCAGGAUGUGCUACCUCUCAGGGCAUGGGUGUCUUAGUCUGUAAAGUGGUUUCGGAACUUUUUUUUUUUUUAAAUAAACACUCUUUUAGAGAAUCGAAACA